GUACGGGAGGCAGCAGUGGGGAAUCUUGCGCAAUGGGCGAAAGCCUGACGCAGCGACGCCGCGUGGGUGAUGAAGGCCUUCGGGUUGUAAAGCUCUGUGGGGAGAGACGAAUAAGUCGAGACGAACAGUCGCGAUGAUGACGGUAUCUCUUUAGCAAGCACCGGCUAACUCUGUGCCAGCAGCCGCGGUAAGACAGAGGGUGCAAACGUUGUUCGGAAUUACUGGGCGUAAAGCGCGUGUAGGCGGUCCUGUAGGUCAAAUGUGAAAUCCCUCGGCUCAACCAAGGAAGUGCAUUCGAAACCCCAGGACUUGAGUCUCGGAGAGGAAGGCGGAAUUCUCGGUGUAGAGGUGAAAUUCGUAGAUAUCGAGAGGAACACCGGUGGCGAAGGCGGCCUUCUGGACGAAGACUGACGCUGAGACGCGAAAGCGUGGGGAGCAAACAGGAUUAGAUACCCGGGUAGUCAC
rnacentral:rRNA from 1 species